rnacentral:rRNA from 1 species
UACGUAGGGUGCAAGCGUUAAUCGGAAUUACUGGGCGUAAAGCGUGCGCAGGCGGUUUUGUAAGUCUGUUGUGAAAGCCCCGGGCUCAACCUGGGAAUUGCGAUGGAGACUGCAAGGCUUGAAUCUGGCAGAGGGGGGUAGAAUUCCACGUGUAGCAGUGAAAUGCGUAGAGAUGUGGAGGAACACCGAUGGCGAAGGCGGACUCUUGGGCUGAUGUACUGACGCUGAGGCGCGAAAGCGUGGGGAGCAAACAGG